AGCAGCCACGGUAAUUCCAGCUCCAAUAGCGUAUAUUAAAGUUGUUGCAGUUAAAAAGCUCGUAGUUGAAUUUCGGGAUCAGUACGCUGGUCGUGCCUUCGGUAUGUACUGGUGUUACUGGUUCCUACCUUCUGACGAACCGUCAUGUCAUUAAUUUGGUGUGGCGGGGAAUCAGGACUGUUACUUUGAAAAAAUUAGAGUGUUUAAAGCAGGCUCGCGCUUGAAUACAUUAGCAUGGAAUAAUGAAAUAGGACGUUCGAUCCUAUUUUGUUGGUUUCUAGGAUUGACGUAAUGAUUAAUAGGGAUAGUUGGGGGCAUUAGUAUUCAAUUGUCAGAGGUGAAAUUCUUGGAUUUAUUGAAGACUAACUACUGCGAAAGCAUUUGCCAAGGAUGUUUUCAUUAAUCAAGAACGAAAGUUAGGGGAUCGAAGACGAUCAGAUACCGUCGUAGUCUUAACCAUAAACUAUGCCGACUAGGGAUCGGAUGAUGUUAUUUUUAAUGACUCAUUCGGCGCCUUAAC
rnacentral:rRNA from 1 species